CAGUAGGGAAUCUUCCACAAUGGACGAAAGUCUGAUGGAGCAACGCCGUGUGAGUGAAGAAGGGUUUCGGCUCGUAAAACUCUGUUGUUAAAGAAGAACAUAUCUGAGAGUAACUGUUCAGGUAUUGACGGUAUUUAACCAGAAAGCCACGGCUAACUACGUGCCAG
rnacentral:rRNA from 1 species